GAGGAAUAUUGGUCAAUGGCCGCAGGGCUGAACCAGCCAAGUCGCGUGAGGGAUGACGGUCCUAUGGAUUGUAAGCCUCUUUGUCAGGGAGCAAAGGGCGUCACGUGUGGCGUUUUGCGAGUACCUGAAGAAAAAGCAUCGGCUAACUCC
rnacentral:rRNA from 1 species